ensembl:miRNA
AUAUACACUAUAUUAUGUAUAAAUGUAUACACAUGUCCUAUAUAUAUAUCCACAUAUAUAUAGUGUAUAUAUUAUACAUGUAUACGUGUGUAUAUG